GACGAACGCUGGCGGCGUGCUUAACACAUGCAAGUCGAACGGAAAGGCCCUGCCUUUGUGGGGUGCUCGAGUGGCGAACGGGUGAGUAACACGUGAGUAACCUGCCCCUGACUUUGGGAUAACUUCUGGAAACUGGGGCUAAUACCGGAUAGGAGCUCCUGCUGCAUGGUGGGGUUUUGAAAGGUUCUGCGGUUGGGGAUGGACUCGCGGCCUAUCAGCUUGUUGGUGGGGUAGUGGCUUACCAAGGCUUUGACGGGUAGCCGGCCUGAGAGGGUGACCGGCCACACUGGGACUGAGACACGGCCCAGACUCCUACGGGAGGCAGCAGUGGGGAAUAUUGCACAAUGGGCGGAAGCCUGAUGCAGCAACGCCGCGUGAGGGAUGACGGCCUUCGGGUUGUAAACCGCUUUCGCCUGGGAAGAAGCGUGAGUGACGGUAAUUGGAGAAGAAGCACCGGCUAACUACGUG
rnacentral:rRNA from 1 species